rnacentral:lncRNA from 1 species
UCAUGUGUACCUGGGGAGGUGGAAGGAGGAUGAAAGACUGUGGCUGUUCUUUAGUAGUUUCUUUCCUUGGAAAAAGAACAGGGUGGGGCAUGCCACUGCUCUCGAAGGCUUCUGUACUCUUGCAUCGGAAAUCAUCUCCUUUUCUUCUCCAUCCCUUUGUCUCUCCUAACUUAUUGCAUCACAUCAGCACCAGCUGGCUGUACCCCAUAUUAGAGGAAGAUGGGGCCCAGCCAAUGAUUGCUUCUCUGAACUAAGCUGUACCCUGGCAAGAAAAACCUGCUCUUGAUAGUCUGCUGAAUAGUGACUGAGAUGACUGGCAGUAAAAUAGGAGACUUUUCAAGUGGAUGAAAGUUAAAUUCAAUAGGUGAUGCUGUGAACCCUCCCCAAGGGAGGUACCAAAAGCCUGCAUGAAGCAAAAACUGGAAACAAAUAAAGGAGAGUAUGGUGACUUUGCACUAAGUUACUCAUUUAUUCACAUAAUUAAUGAGUUUCUAUUAGUGUUAGGCACCGUUCUAGAUGAUGGUAUAAUUAGUUAACAAAAACCUCAAAACUCUCGCCCCCCAUGGAGCUUACAUUUCCAGGGAGGGAGAGAGAUGAUACAACAAUAAGAAAAUACAGAGCUAAUGUCAUUCUAUAUUGUAUAAUUAUGUAAAAUCAAGCCUGAGUAUUUGACAGCUUCUCAGAUACCACAGAUCUGUUGUUUAAUGAAAUCAGCCUAAAAGAUAAAAUUGUGUAUUUGCAUGUACACAUCACCUUGCCUGUAUUAUGAGUCAGCGUUUCUUCUUAUAAGAAACCACAGCUUGGUAAAAGGUAGAAGCUCAAUUUCCUAAUAAAGAGAUAUGUUUUACUAGGCAGGCUGUUGCACUGCAUAUUACUCUCUCUGACCUUGGCUUUAGUCCAAGGAGGAUUAAACCCAGAAAGAGAAGGGAGUAAAGCAAGGUGUAGCAGAAAAGCAAAACAAAACAAUACAAAAUAACCUCAAAGAAAUUAGUAACAAUAAUUAGUGCAUUCAGAGAUUAUAUCUUUCUUUCUUUUUUUCCUUUUUUUUUUUCUUUCGAGACGGAGUUUUGCUCUUGUUGCCCAGGCUGGAGU